GAUGAACGCUGGCGGCGUGCCUAAUACAUGCAAGUCGAGCGAACAGACGAGGAGCUUGCUCCUCUGACGUUAGCGGCGGACGGGUGAGUAACACGUGGAUAACCUACCUAUAAGACUGGGAUAACUUCGGGAAACCGGAGCUAAUACCGGAUAAUAUAUUGAACCGCAUGGUUCAAUAGUGAAAGACGGUUUUGCUGUCACUUAUAGAUGGAUCCGCGCCGCAUUAGCUAGUUGGUAAGGUAACGGCUUACCAAGGCAACGAUGCGUAGCCGACCUGAGAGGGUGAUAGGCCACCCUGGAACUGAGACACGGUCCAGACUCCUACGGGAGGCAGCAGUAGGGAAUCUUCCGCAAUGGGCGAAAGCAUGACGGAGCAACGCCGCGUGAGUGAUGAAGGUCUUCGGAUCGUAAAACUCUGUUAUUAGGGAAGAACAAAUGUGUAAGUAACUAUGCACGUCUUGACGGUACCUAAUCAGAAAGCCACGGCUAACUACGUG
rnacentral:rRNA from 1 species